AAUACGUAGGGGGCAAGCGUUGUCCGGAUUUAUUGGGCGUAAAGAGCGUGUAGGCGGCCAGGCAGGUCCGUUGUGAAAACUCGAGGCUCAACCUCGAGAUGUCGAUGGAAACCGUUUGGCUAGAGUCCGGAAGAGGAGAGUGGAAUUCCUGGUGUAGCGGUGAAAUGCGCAGAUAUCAGGAAGAACACCCGUGGCGAAGGCGGCUCUCUGGGACGGUACUGACGCUGAGACGCGAAAGCGUGGGGAGCGAACAGGA
rnacentral:rRNA from 1 species